GACGGCAAAGGGCGCGCAAGUAAACUGUUCAGCAAUCUGCUAACAUUCAUACCAAAACCUAAUUCAUAAGUUGAAUGCUCUGUAAUUGAUUCACUGAAUGCCUAAUUUCGGCAACGCCAUUCAAAAGUUGGACCACGCAAGAAAUUCAGCAAUCAUUGGAAUAUGACAAUGAUUUACGCACUUCAUCAACCCGAACUGCAAUUGGAAUAACGAUAUGUUCAAUAAAGUACUAGAAGGUUCACUAUAUUUAAACAUGCAAUUAUAUUUUUUGUAAAAAAAUCCAUGAAUAUAGUAAAAGAAUGUAAGUGAUUGAAGAGCUGAACAGGCAUGCAAAAUUCAGUAAGCUGCUUAUAAGAAUGUAUAAGAACACAUUACCCAUUCAUUAUUGAUCUUGCUUAAGCAGCCUUUCAAAAUCCUCGAUGAAUCGAAGUGAGGAAUCGUUUAAUAAAUGUCACCAAGGAUUUUUUUUAAGCCUUGGUAUAAAGCGGUGUCAGAAUACUUUUAUUUGUUGAUGCAGUUCCUAAUUACCAUACUAGAAAAGUAUUAAAAUUCCGGGAUACUGAAUUUGGACCGUAAUUGAAUUUAUUUGUCCAUCCAUCCAAAAUGUAUAAUGAUGCUUUAAAUAUCAUAACCAAAUUUUUCUGUUUAUUUCAACCUUGCCUAUUCCAACUGUCUUCUAAUUCAAUAAUUGUUUUUAAAAUUUCGUAAUUUACCUACUUUAAUAGAUUUAUUUAUUCAAUUU